rnacentral:rRNA from 1 species
UACGGGGGGAGCAAGCGUUGUUCGGAAUUACUGGGCGUAAAGGGCUUGUAGGUGGCCAACUAAGUCACACGUGAAAUCCCUCGGCUUAACCGGGGAACUGCGUCUGAUACUGGAUGGCUUGAGGUUGGGAGAGGGAUGCGGAAUUCCAGGUGUAGCGGUGAAAUGCGUAGAUAUCUGGAGGAACACCGGUGGCGAAGGCGGCAUCCUGGACCAAUUCUGACACUGAGGAGCGAAAGCCAGGGGAGCAAACGGG